rnacentral:rRNA from 1 species
UACGUAGGGACCAAGCGUUGUUCGGAUUUAUUGGGCGUAAAGAGCUCGUAGGCGGUUUGUCGCGUCUGCCGUGAAAGUCCGGGGCUCAACUCCGGAUCUGCGGUGGGUACGGGCAGACUAGAGUGAUGUAGGGGAGACUGGAAUUCCUGGUGUAGCGGUGAAAUGCGCAGAUAUCAGGAGGAACACCGAUGGCGAAGGCAGGUCUCUGGGCAUUAACUGACGCUGAGGAGCGAAAGCAUGGGGAGCGAACAGG